UUGGAGGGAUCAUUACCGAGUUUACAACUCCCAAACCCAAUGUGAACGUUACCAAACUGUUGCCUCGGCGGGGUCACGCCCCGGGUGCGUCGCAGCCCCGGAACCAGGCGCCCGCCGGAGGAACCAACCAAACUCUUUCUGUAGUCCCCUCGCGGACGUAUUUCUUACAGCUCUGAGCAAAAAUUCAAAAUGAAUCAAAACUUUCAACAACGGAUCUCUUGGUUCUGGCAUCGAUGAAGAACGCAGCGAAAUGCGAUAAGUAAUGUGAAUUGCAGAAUUCAGUGAAUCAUCGAAUCUUUGAACGCACAUUGCGCCCGCCAGUAUUCUGGCGGGCAUGCCUGUCCGAGCGUCAUUUCAACCCUCGAACCCCUCCGGGGGAUCGGCGUUGGGGAUCGGGACCCCUCACACGGGUGCCGGCCCCGAAAUACAGUGGCGGUCUCGCCGCAGCCUCUCCUGCGCAGUAGUUUGCACAACUCGCACCGGGAGCGCGGCGCGUCCACGUCCGUAAAACACCCAACUUCUGAAAUGUGACCU
rnacentral:rRNA from 1 species